AUGAUGAGUCUUUUGUAUGCACAACAGGAGCGGUAUUUACUUGAUUUUAUAACCUUUGAUAUCCCAGCUGCUAUUUGUGAAAUAUUGUUGACUGUCACAUAAUUUGGUUGUGUACUGUUGUUGUAAGGGACGACAUCAAAAGUUCAAUGAAGGAUAAAAAACUUAAUUCAAAUAGUUUUUUCACUGACCCCCCUCCCCCCUAAUUAACUUAAUUUGGGAAAAAUUGAUUGACCCAUAUGGAUAUAUGUAAAAAUCAAUGUCGGAUAACCAAAUCUUGCAGCAGUUCAACCCCCCCCCCCCCCCACCCCCAAACUAUUUGAAUUAAGUUUUUUAUCUUACAUUGAUCUUUUGAUGUCGUCCCUAA
rnacentral:lncRNA from 1 species